rnacentral:rRNA from 1 species
CACGUAGGGGGCGAGCGUUGUCCGGAUUUAUUGGGCGUAAAGAGCUCGUAGGCGGCUCGGUAAGUCGGGUGUGAAAACUCUAGGCUCAACCUAGAGACGCCACCUGAUACUGCUGUGGCUAGAGUCCGGUAGGGGAGCAUGGAAUUCCUGGUGUAGCGGUGAAAUGCGCAGAUAUCAGGAGGAACACCAGUGGCGAAGGCGGGAUCCUGGGCCAGUACUGAACGCUGAGGAGCGAAAGCGUGGGGAGCAAACAGG